AAGUCGUAACAAGGUUUCCGUAGGUGAACCUGCGGAAGGAUCAUUACCAAAAAAUCCAAUACCAACCCCUUUUUGUGAAUCUUUUGAAUGUACUUGGGAGAGAGAGAGAGAGAUUAUAUAAUAAUACAUAUUUUUUAUGUUUUAUUUUUUUUCCUUCUUUUCUUUCUCCCAUGUUUAUUAACCUUAAAACACCUUUAAUUGGGUUAAACUCUUUUUAUAGUAUAUUUUUUAGUACAAAAAAAAAUUAAAAGUUAAAACAACUUUUAACGGUGGAUCUCUUGGCUCGU
rnacentral:misc_RNA from 1 species